rnacentral:lncRNA from 10 species
CAUUUGCAUAAGCAUGUGGGCAUCUAGGCCUGUGUAUGCGUGCAUGCAGGUGCACACACACAGUCUCCUGGGGGCUCUGCUUCACUCACAAAUGCUGGUGGCUGUGCCUCCCUGUCAUUUAGGUCUCAACUCCAGUGUCCUCUGCUUAGGCCUCCCGACAACCUAAAGAUGCCCAGCAGCCCUGCGGUGGCCAGUUACUUCCACCAGAAGUGACUUCUCUUCUCUGCAGAGCCCACACAGGCACCUACAAUGACAUCAUUACUUGUUUCGUUUGUGUGCUCUGCGUGUCUCCCACCAGGGGCACCGUGGACCCACGACCCAGCAGGGCCUGGUGCUGGGAGGGGCCUGAGGCUGGCCCAUUGGGUAUCUCCACUUGCCAGGGGAGAUGUGUGGAGCCUUUGAGUGGUGGAGCAGCGGCUCUGGGGGCUGACCUGCCUCUGACUCGAUUCCAUAGUCCCCAGACCUAUGCAGUGUCAGUCUGUCUGUGCUCCUCCAUGACUCAGGACCGUGCCUCUCCCCUCCAUGGAGGAUGCAUGUGGCCUGUCAGCAUCCUCUGAAAUGGCUCUCCGGAUGCCACUGAGACAGAAGCAAUUUCCAGGCCCCCAAUGAGGCUGGCGCAGCUGUCUCGCCCAGAAAGCAUGGCCAUUUGUGUCUGCUUCAUUCCCGAGGGGCCUCACAUUGGGAACAUGGCUCUGAGCCUGGAUGGAGGAGGGAGCUGUGGGUGUGGGCUGGGCUACUGUCCCCCACCAACC